GUCCCCAUCGUCUAGAGGCCUAGGACGUCGCCCUUUCACGGCGGCAACACGAGUUCGAAUCUCGUUGGGGACGCCA
rnacentral:tRNA from 1 species